rnacentral:lncRNA from 1 species
AGUUUUGACUCACCAUAUUUUUAUCAUUCCAACAAAAGCUUGAAUGGGCAUAGUUAUCGACUAAGUCAACCUUCAUCUGUCAAAAGGUACCUCCAGAUGGAAUCGAGUAAACAAGCGUUAUUUACUACUGAAUUGGUAUUUAAUAUUUACAGUGGUAGUUACGCCACAAGCUGACUAAAUAUUACUUCACAUUCCGAUCUCAAAGUUCGGCUUCAUUUCUCAUUCCGACAUCAAAAUUUGAAGCAAUCAUCAUCCAUAAUAUUUACCGAUUCAUCUGUCAUAAUCCGUCAAGCCAAAAACGUUAAGUUGGCAGUACCAGAGUCACAGGUACAGAAGCUUUUUAAAACUACUGGCAUGCAGAAGAGGCAAUGACAUCCAUUCAGCGAAUACGGACACACAAAAUGUAAGUCUGUAAUGAUUUUUUUUUUUUAUGAAAUUAAAUUUUUCAAUAGAAUAGAAUCAAAUUUUUCAAUUUUCAAGAAUAUUUAGUCUAGAGUUUUGCUUAUAGAAUUGCAUUCCUUUCUACGCCACUAAGUUUAUACUCUUAAACUUUUCACAAUUUUUUGAGUGGAUAAAAAAUUUGAGUUUAGUGAAUUGAGUGGAUAAAAAGUUGCAUUUAAAGUUUUUUUUAUACAAGUUAUUGAAAUGCUUCAUUAAGUCCAAAAAUACCAUAAGCAACAAAAGGCAAGUUUGUACAAGUGAAGAAGCUGGCGGUUUGAGACAGGUAUUAUUAAAUGCAUCUGAAGUUAGAGUAUUUAAAAAUUAUAUUAAAUACAUGCACAAUUAACAAGAAACAUAAUGAAUUACUAUUUAAUAAUGUAUGAGCCAUUAUUUUGAACGUGGAAAAAAUGAAUUUUUUUAUGG